ACGUAGGGGGCUAGCGUUAUCCGGAUUUACUGGGCGUAAAGGGUGCGUAGGUGGUUUCUUAAGUCAGGAGUGAAAGGCUACGGCUCAACCGUAGUAAGCUCUUGAAACUGGGAAACUUGAGUGCAGGAGAGGAAAGUGGAAUUCCUAGUGUAGCGGUGAAAUGCGUAGAUAUUAGGAGGAACACCAGUAGCGAAGGCGGCUUUCUGGACUGUAACUGACACUGAGGCACGAAAGCGUGGGGAGCAAACAG
rnacentral:rRNA from 2 species